UACAGAGGGGGCGAGCGUUGUUCGGAAUUACUGGGCGUAAAGGGCGCGUAGGCGGCCUGUUAAGUCGGACGUGAAAUCCCCGGGCUCAACCCGGGAACUGCAUCCGAUACUGGCAGGCUUGAAUUCGGGAGAGGGAUGUGGAAUUCCAGGUGUAGCGGUGAAAUGCGUAGAUAUCUGGAGGAACACCGGUGGCGAAGGCGGGUCUCUGGGCCGAUACUGACGCUGAGGAGCGAAAGCGUGGGGAGCGAACAGG
rnacentral:rRNA from 1 species